UGGGGAAUAUUGCACAAUGGGCGCAAGCCUGAUGCAGCCAUGCCGCGUGUAUGAAGAAGGCCUUCGGGUUGUAAAGUACUUUCAGCGGGGAGGAAGGCGACAAGGUUAAUAACCUUGUCGAUUGACGUUACCCGCAGAAGAAGCACCGGCUAACUCCGUGCCAGCAGCCGCGGUAAUACGGAGGGUGCAAGCGUUAAUCGGAAUUACUGGGCGUAAAGCGCACGCAGGCGGUCUGUCAAGUCGGAUGUGAAAUCCCCGGGCUCAACCUGGGAACUGCAUUCGAAACUGGCAGGCUAGAGUCUUGUAGAGGGGGGUAGAAUUCCAGGUGUAGCGGUGAAAUGCGUAGAGAUCUGGAGGAAUACCGGUGGCGAAGGCGGCCCCCUGGACAAAGACUGACGCUCAGGUGCGAAAGCGUGGGGAGCAAACA
rnacentral:rRNA from 1 species